rnacentral:piRNA from 1 species
UGGGUGUGCUAUCUGCGUGUGAUUCUCUAG